rnacentral:rRNA from 1 species
GACGAACGCUGGCGGCGUGCUUAACACAUGCAAGUCGAACGGAAAGGCCUGCUUUCCCUUGUGGCUUGCGGGUACUCGAGUGGCGAACGGGUGAGUAACACGUGAGUGAUCUGCCCCCAACUUGUGUAUAAGCCUGGGAAACUGGGUCUAAUUCCCGAUAGUCCUUCAGGGUGGUGCCUUUGGUUGAAAACGAUUUUCUAGUGGUUGGGGAUGAGCUCGCGGCCUAUCAGCUUGUUGGUGGGGUAAUGGCCUACCACGGCGGCGACGGGUAGCCGGCCUGAGAGGGGGGACGGCGACAUUGAGACUGAGAAACGGCCCAGAGUCCUACGGGAGGCAGCAGUGGGGAAGAGUGCAAAAUGGGCGGAAGCCUGAUGCAGCGACGCCGCGUGGGGGAUGACGGGCUGCGGGUGGUAAACUCCUUUCGAGCGCGAGGAAGCCACCUGGUUGGAAGGGUGGUGACGGUAGUGGUAGAAGAAGCACCGGCUAACUACGUG